GUAGAAUGGCUUUUCGGCGACGCGCUCCGAGA
rnacentral:scRNA from 1 species